UUGCCAGACUCCUACGGGAGGCAGCAGUGAGGAAUAUUGGUCAACGGGCGGAAGCCUGAACCAGCCAAGUCGCGUGAGGGAAGAAGGCCCUGCGGGUCGCAGACCUCUUUGGACGGGGAGCAAGGCCGCCGACGUGUCGGCGGAAGGAGAGUACCCGUAGAACAAGCAUCGGCUAACUCCGUGCCAGCAGCCGCGGUAAUACGUAGGGUGCGAGCGUUAAUCGGAAUUACUGGGCGUAAAGGGUGUGCAGGCGGCUGAGUAAGACAGAUGUGAAAUCCCCGGGCUUAACCUGGGAACCGCAUAUGUGACUGCUUGGCUAGAGUGCGUCAGAGGGAGGUGGAAUUCCACGUGUAGCAGUGAAAUGCGUAGAUAUGUGGAAGAACACCGAUGGCGAAGGCAGCCUCCUGGGACGCAACUGACGCUCAGACACGAAAGCGUGGGGAGCAAACAGGAUUAGAUACCCUUGUAU
rnacentral:rRNA from 1 species